rnacentral:rRNA from 1 species
CCUACGGGAGGCAGCAGUGAGGAAUAUUGCGCAAUGGGGGCAACCCUGACGCAGUGACGCCGCGUGAGUGAUGAAGGCUUUCGAGUCGUAAAGCUCUGUUAGGUGGAAAGAAACAUCCCGGCGCUAAUAUCGUCGGGACUUGACGGUACCACCAGAGGAAGCACCGGCUAACUCCGUGCCAGCAGCCGCGGUAAUACGGAGGGUGCAAGCGUUGUUCGGAUUUACUGGGCGUAAAGGGCGUGUAGGCGGUUGGUUAAGUCAGAUGUGAAAUCCCUUAGCUUAACUAAGGAACGGCAUUUGAAACUAGCCAACUGGAGUACAGGAGAGGAAAGUGGAAUUCCCAGUGUAGAGGUGAAAUUCAUAGAUAUUGGGAGGAACACCGGUAGCGAAGGCGGCUUUCUGGCCUGAUACUGACGCUGAGACGCGAAAGCGUGGGUAGCAAACAGGAUUAGAUACCCUGGUAGUCCACGCCGUAAACGAUGGGAACUAGGUGUAGGAAGUGUUGACCCUUUCUGUGCCGAAGCUAACGCAUUAAGUUCCCCGCCUGGGGAGUACGGUCGCAAGGCUAAAACUUAAAGGAAUUGACGG